CCUACGGGUGGCAGCAGUGGGGAAUAUUGGACAAUGGGCGAAAGCCUGAUCCAGCCAUGCCGCGUGUGUGAAGAAGGCCUUCGGGUUGUAAAGCACUUUCAGUGGGGAAGAAAGCCUUGGGGCUAAUACCCUCGAGGAAGGACAUCACCCACAGAAGAAGCACCGGCUAACUCCGUGCCAGCAGCCGCGGUAAUACGGAGGGUGCGAGCGUUAAUCGGAAUUACUGGGCGUAAAGGCGCGUAGGCGGUCUGAUAAGCCGGUUGUGAAAGCCCCGGGCUCAACCUGGGAACGGCAUCCGGAACUGUCAGGCUAGAGUGCAGGAGAGGAAGGUAGAAUUCCCGGUGUAGCGGUGAAAUGCGUAGAGAUCGGGAGGAAUACCAGUGGCGAAGGCGGUCUUCUGGACUGACACUGACGCUGAGGUGCGAAAGCGUGGGUAGCAAACAGGAUUAGAUACCCCAGUAGUC
rnacentral:rRNA from 1 species